rnacentral:tRNA from 1 species
GAGGGGGGGAAAAAUCCACCAAGAACUGCUAACUCUUACCUCUGAGUCUAAAACCUCAGCCCCCUUG